rnacentral:rRNA from 1 species
UAAUACGGAGGGUGCAAGCGUUAGUCGGAAUUACUGGGCGUAAAGGGAGCGUAGGCUGGGAUGUAAGUUAGAUGUGAAAUACCGUUGCUCAACAACGGCCGUGCAUCUAAAACUGCGUUUCUAGAGGGAUAGCGGAGAAAAUGGAAUUCCAUGUGUAGCGGUGAAAUGCGUAGAUAUAUGGAAGAACACCUGUGGCGAAAGCGAUUUUCUAGCUUGACCCUGACGCUGAGGCUCGAAAGCAAGGGGAGCAAACAGG